rnacentral:misc_RNA from 1 species
GUGAAUCAUCAAAUCUUUGAACGCAAAUUGCACUCUCUGGUAUUCCGGAGAGUAUGCCUGUUUGAGGUUCAGUUUAAAUAAAAAUCGGUGUGGUCGCUGCCUUUCUUGGUGACGCGCCGGAUUUGGGUCGUCUUGCCUUCGGUUAGGGGACCUAAAAUUUUGCAUGAUUUUUUCGAACGUAUUUAAUUAAUUUUACUACCGUUUGCGAUA